GACGAACGCUGGCGGCGUGCUUAACACAUGCAAGUCGAGCGAUGAACCUUUCAUGAAUUUUUCGGAAUGAUUGGAAGAGGAUUAGCGGCGGACGGGUGAGUAACGCGUGAGCAACCUGCCUUAAACAACGGGAUAGCCUCGGGAAACCGGGAUUAAUACCGUAUGAGACCCCGCCUUCACAUGAAGAAGAGGUUAAAGAUUUAUCGGUUUAAGAUGGGCUCGCGUCUGAUUAGCUAGUUGGUGAGAUAAAAGCCCACCAAGGCAACGAUCAGUAACCGGCUUGAGAGAGUGAACGGUUACAUUGGAACUGAGACACGGUCCAAACUCAUACGGGAGGCAGCAGUGGGGAAUAUUGCACAAUGGGGGAAACCCUGAUGCAGCGACGCCGCGUGAGCGAUGAAGGAAUUCGUUUCGUAAAGCUCUGUCCAAGGGGAAGAUAAUGACAGUACCCUUGGAGGAAGCCCCGGCUAAAUACGUGCCAGCCGCCGCCGUAA
rnacentral:rRNA from 1 species